GACAAACAUCCCCCGCCCCGCCGCCUCCGGGAGACACCGGGCGCAUGCUCCGGAGGGGCACGGGAACCAUGGUGUGAUCUGGGCAUCUUCUCCUUUCUCCAAGAGGAGGGCAGGGAAAGCAGCUGUUCUAUUGCUUGAAACAUCUGCAGGAAACAAGAGAGAUGAUGGAUAAAAAUGGCCCAAUACAUCAUCUAUUGUCAUGAAAGCCACCACGAUCAGGAUCUCUCAGGUCACAUCAACAGGGAGGAAAAAGCCUGGUGGAACUGGAUAUUUAUUUGGUGCAGCCCUUUUGGUUUCUGAAGCCUGCACAAAGGCUGUUGGUCCUUCCCAAAUUCCUGCUGUGCUGCCUUUCCUUGCUCCUGCUGCCUUCUCCUCUGGCCCUGCACCCUUGGGAUGCUCACACCAGGCCAGAGACAUGGAUUAGUGGAAAUCUAGGAAACAGGACCUACGAGGGAAGAAGAUAAGAAUUGGGUAUUUUGGUCCAGAGAGGAGAAGCCUGAGGAAGAGGAGGCAGCUGUGGAUCUCUGUCUGACCUCCAGACCUCCCUCAGCAGCUGCUUUUCCUGCACUGCUGUGAUAAGCACCCUCCAGUAAAUAAAAAGGAUAAAAAGCUGCCAUGAAGAGGAAGGGAAUAAACUCUUCU